GGAUUACUCGCUCAUUUAAGAAAAAUAUUUAAUAUAUUAUUAUUUUCCAGCUGAAAUUUAUAUUAGCAUUAAGAAAGAAGGAAUGUUGAAGGUAAUAAUCAUCGUUACGAUAACAAUUUUUGUGAUACAUUCUUCCGAUGCAACUUGUGUCAAAUGCAAGAUUAAAGAUAGACAUCUAACCAGAACAGACAAUCAAGACUCUAUUAGACAACAUCCUGGAAAAGAAAACCAAGAUGAGAG